ACCGUGUGCACCACACGGUCGUGUGUGACACACGGGCUAGGUUAUUUGGGCCAUUGGCCCUCACGAGCAUGUGGGUGACACGGGCAUGUGUUAGACCGGCUCGGCCGGUUGGGCCGUGUGGACCACACAAGCAUCUCAACUACACUUAUAUGAGUGACAUACCACCACGACCUGGUGUGAUUGGAUGGAUGAACUCUUAUGGUCCUAAUUGAUGUGAUUGGUUGAACGGAGUUGGUGUGUAGCAGAUAGAGAUAGGAUCUAUAUCUCUAUCUGUAAUUGAAUCUGUGUCUGCAUUUGUAUCUGAAUGUAUUUGAUUUUGAGAAUACAUCUGAUUCCAUAUAUGAGAAUAUGUCUAGAUCUGUAUAUGAAAAUA